rnacentral:rRNA from 1 species
AGUACAGACGAGUUUGAUCCUGGCUCAGAUUGAACGCUGGCGGCAGGCUUAACACAUGCAAGUCGAGCGGAGACUUCGGUCUUAGCGGCGAACGGGUGAGUAAUACCUAGGAAUCUGCCUAUUAGUGGGGGAUAACGGCUCGAAAGGGUCGCUAAUACCGCAUACGUCCUACGGGAGAAAGUGGGGGAUCUUCGGACCUCACGCUAAUAGAUGAGCCUAGGCCGGAUUAGCUAGUUGGUAGGGUAAAGGCCUACCAAGGCGACGAUCCGUAGCUGGUCUGAGAGGAUGAUCAGCCACACUGGAACUGAGACACGGUCCAGACUCCUACGGGAGGCAGCAGUGGGGAAUAUUGGACAAUGGGGGCAACCCUGAUCCAGCCAUGCCGCGUGUGUGAAGAAGGCCUUCGGGUUGUAAAGCACUUUAAGCGAGGAGGAAGGUCUUUGAACUAAUAUUUCAAAGAAUUGACGUUACUCGCAGAAUAAGCACCGGCUAACUCUGUG